AUACGUAGGGGGCGAGCGUUGUCCGGAAUGAUUGGGCGUAAAGGGCGCGUAGGCGGCGCGGUAAGUCUGGAGUGAAAGUCCUGCUUUCAAGGUGGGAAUUGCUUUGGAUACUGCCGCGCUUGAGUGCAGGAGAGGUUAUCGGAAUUCCCGGUGUAGCGGUGAAAUGCGUAGAGAUCGGGAGGAACACCAGUGGCGAAGGCGGGUAACUGGACUGCAACUGACGCUGAGGCGCGAAAGUGUGGGGAGCAAACAGGAUUAGAUACCCUGGUAGUCCACACUGUAAACGAUGAAUGCUAGGUGUAAGAGGUAUCGACCCCUUUUGUGCCGGAGUCAACACAAUAAGCAUUCCGCCUGGGGAGUACGGCCGCAAGGUUGAAACUUAAAUGAAUUGGCGGGG
rnacentral:rRNA from 1 species